rnacentral:miRNA from 1 species
ACAAAAGAUCUACUGAAGAUUUUCUCCUCUCCCUCUCCUUUUUUUGCACACACACGCAAAGAGAGAGAGAGAGAGAGAGAGAGAGAGAGAGAU